AGUGGAGAGUGGCGCACGGGUGAGUAACACGUGAGCAACCUGCCGGGAAGCCCGGGAUAGCCCUCCGAAAGGAGGAUUAAUACCGGAUGUGGCACCCUGCGAUUGCAGGGGAAGCUAAAGGAUUUAUUCACUUCCCGANGGGCUCGCGGNCCAUCAGCUUGUUGGUGAGGGUAACGGCCCACCAAUGCGACAACGGGUAGCUGGUCUGAGAGGAUGGUCAGCCACACUGGAACUGAGACACGGUCCAGACACCUACGGGUGGCAGCAGUCGAGAAUCAUUCGCAAUGGGGGAAACCCUGACGAUGCGACGCCGCGUGGAGGAUGAAGGCCUUAGGGUUGUAAACUCCUGUCAAGAGGGAAUAAGCAAGUGAAGGUACCUCUAGAGGAAGGGGCGGCUAAUUCCGUGCCAGCAGCCGCGGUAACACGGAAGCCCCGAGCGUUGUUCGGAUUCAUUGGGCGUAAAGGGUGCGUACGCGGCGCGGAAAGUCCGGCGUGAAAGGCAGGGGCUCAACCUCUGGACUGCGUUGGAUACUUCCGUGCUUGAGGACUGGAGGGGAGACUGGAAUUCACGGUGUAGCAGUGAAAUGCGUAGAUAUCGUGAGGAAGACCGGUGGCGAAGGCGAGUCUCUGGACAGAUCCUGACGCUGAGGCACGAAGGGCUUGGGGGAGCGAACAGGAUUAGAUACCCUGGUAGUUCCCAGCAGUAAACGAUGUGAGCUUUGAUGUGGGGGGAUUCGACCCCUUCCGUGUCGAAGCUAACGCGAUAAGCUCACCGCCUGAGGAGUACGGCCGCAAGGCUAAAACUCAAAGAAAUUGACGGGGACCCGCACAAGCGGUGGAGUAUGUGGCUUAAUUC
rnacentral:rRNA from 1 species